rnacentral:rRNA from 1 species
UGGUAGUCCAUGCGUAAACGAUGAGCGCUAGGUGUUGGGGACUUUCCGGUCUCAGUGCCGCAGCAAACGCAUUAAGCGCUCCGCUGGGGAGUACGACCGCAAGGUUGAAACUCAAAGGAAUUGACGGGGGCCCGCACAAGCGGUGGAGCAUGUGGUUUAAUUCGAAGCAACGCGAAGAACCUUACCAGGUCUUGACAUCCUGUGCUACACCUAGAGAUAGGUGGUUCCCUUCGGGGACGCAGAGACAGGUGGUGCAUGGCUGUCGUCAGCUCGCGUCGUGAGAUGUUGGGUUAAGUCCCGCAACGAGCGCAACCCUUGUCUUUAGUUGCCAUCAUUAAGUUGGGCACUCUAAAGAGACUGCCGGUGACAAACCGGAGGAAGGUGGGGAUGACGUCAAGUCAUCAUGCCCCUUAUGACCUGGGCUACACACGUGCUACAAUGGGCAGUACAACGAGAAGCGAACCCGCGAGGGUAAGCGGAUCUCUUAAAGCUGUUCUCAGUUCGGACUGCAGGCUGCAACUCGCCUGCACGAAGCUGGAAUCGCUAGUAAUCGCGGAUCAGCACGCCGCGGUGAAUACGUUCCCGGGCCUUGUACACACCGCCCGUCACACCAUGGAAGUCUGCAAUGCCCAAAGUCGGUGGGAUAACCUUAUGGAGUCAGCCGCCUAAGGCAGGGCAGAUGACUGGGGUGAAGUCGUAACAAGGUAACCAAGGGCGAAUUCCAG